rnacentral:rRNA from 1 species
GCUCGUAGUUGAACCUUGGGCCUGGCUGGCCGGUCCGCCUCACCGCGUGCACUGGUCCGGCCGGGCCUUUCCCUCUGUGGAACCCCAUGCCCUUCACUGGGUGUGGCGGGGAAACAGGACUUUUACUUUGAAAAAAUUAGAGUGCUCCAGGCAGGCCUAUGCUCGAAUACAUUAGCAUGGAAUAAUGAAAUAGGACGUGCGGUUCUAUUUUGUUGGUUUCUAGGACCGCCGUAAUGAUUGAUAGGGACAGUCGGGGGCAUCAGUAUUCAACUGUCAGAGGUGAAAUUCUUGGACCAGUUGAAGACUAACUACUGCGAAAGCAUUUGCCAAGGAUGUUUUCAUUAAUCAGGAACGAAAGUUAGGGGAUCGAAGACGAUCAGAUACCGUCGUAGUCUUAACCAUAAACUAUGCCGACUAGGGA